AACGAACGCUGGCGGCAUGCCUAACACAUGCAAGUCGAACGAGACCUUCGGGUCUAGUGGCGCACGGGUGCGUAACGCGUGGGAACCUGCCUUUAGGUUCGGAAUAACUCAGAGAAAUUUGAGCUAAUACCGGAUGAUGUCUUCGGACCAAAGAUUUAUCGCCUUUAGAUGGGCCCGCGUUGGAUUAGCUAGUUGGUGGGGUAAAGGCCUACCAAGGCGACGAUCCAUAGCUGGUCUGAGAGGAUGAUCAGCCACACUGGGACUGAGACACGGCCCAGACUCCUACGGGAGGCAGCAGUGGGGAAUAUUGGACAAGGGGCGAAAGCCUGAUACAGCAAUGCCGCGUGAGUGAUGAAGGCCUUAGGGUUGUAAAGCCCUUUUACCCGAGAUGAUAAUGACAGUAUCGGGAGAAUAAGCGCCGGCUAACUCCGUG
rnacentral:rRNA from 1 species